UAGGAAUUAAAUGGUCAACAAUUUUGUAGCAAAGAUACCCCGUAGUAACGUACACAUGGUGGUGCGUAUUGUGUGAGGUCGGGUUGAAAAGAGAAGGGGGAAAAUCGCAUGGGGUUUGUGCCAGUAGUGUUAAUAGUGGGAGGGGACUGCGGCACGAACAGCAGAUCAAAAAUCGAAUGUAUAUCGGGGGUGGCCUUAGAGUGAAUGGAGAGCAGCUGACAAAGACAGAGCCCCCCCUGCGGUACCUCGGUUUAGCAAAAGGCGCCUAUAGAAAAUUUCGCUAAGGGCACAUCCCCUCCACUUUUCCGAAGACCUCUGGUCACAUACUGUGCCAAUAACUCUGUUAGGAUUUUCAAUAGGAAAGCUUUCCCCUUCCCUCUCUUCCCCCUCUUCCCAUUAUACCAAAAGAUACCCUUGAAGAAUAUUGGAAAAGCAGUCUAUGUGGAAUUCACAGCACAGUAACUUCGUUAGCCUUACAACUGUAAGCUCUGAUUUCAUACUCAGAAACGAUCAAGAACGUUCUGCUAUGUUGAGUUGUGAUGUCUUAUAUUCGUAUACGAGUGCGAAAAUUCGACAUUUUACGUAAAUUUAUAGCCAGUUGAUUGACCGCGCAAUAAUGUAAUCAAUUUGUAUAUAGUUAUUUGAAGUGACUGUGUGUGAUAAUAAACUAAACAUAAGUUUGUAAUAAUAUGAUAUGGAAUCAUAGUAAUAUGGAUAUGAGGCCAAAUAACUGUCAGAGUAGCCAAAUGAAUAUAUCAUCAAGCUACCCGUUAGAAUGUUCGAUGGCGCGGCUACCUGAGAAAUACAACAUGUCUUCAAUUCAAUCCAGUUUAUUGAAGGAUGCUCUACAAAAUGGCACGAAAAUAGCGAAACAAAAUUAUUCAGCAUAUACCUGUUUACACAAAAGCGCAGAUAUGAUCCUUUACCUAGAACAAACAGCACCAAACAGUCCGAUUGUUUCGCAUAAUUUAUUUUCUUCUGAAAACUGUACUAAACUGAAGGAAUGUCAGGAAAUUUUGGACCAAUUGAAUCCACCCACAAGUCAAUAUCAAUCACAAGAAUACAAUAAAUAUUACAAAAAUUAUACACGCACUGAACAACAUAUUGUGCAAUCGCAAAAUUACACACACACCGGAGAACACACUGUGCAAUCGCAAAAUUACGUACCUACCGAAGAAUAUAUUGUGCAAUCGCAUUGUUACGCUUUACUUCAACCUGGCCCGUCCAAUAUUUCAACGCAAUGUGAACAGAACAAACCAAAGCAACAAGCCAUAUUUGAUAUACAACAACAAUCGCGUAACAAUAUGUGUAACUAUAUUAGUAAUAAUAAUAAUAAUAUUAGUAAUAAUAAUAAUUAUAAUAAUUAUAAUUUAAACAACAUAAAACAAAAGAAGUAUAUUAAAAUGUCUGACGAAAGUAGCACUACAAAACGUCAAUCUUCCAACGUCCAUUAUGCACAUAAAAUAACUGUAGAUUGGCUUCACAAGAUGGAAGCUAAUCAAAAGGAUGGAAUCAAACGCAAGAGAGAAACCUAUUCAAAAUUCCAAACAUUGGAACUGGAAAAAGAAUUUCAUUUAUGUCCAUAUAUUGGAAGAAAUCAACGUCAAGAACUAUCUACGAAGAUUGCUUUGACUGAGCGUCAAAUUAAGAUUUGGUUUCAAAAUCGACGAAUGAAGAAGAAAAAGGAAAAAAGUUUGUUAUCAAAAGACUCUUCCUUAACCACAACCACAUCAACAACAUCGGAACCAGUCAUGCCAAAAUCCAAUACCCAAAUAAUGUGUCACGGAAGACAAGACUUACUGAAUCCAGAGGAACAGGUAAUAUCAUCAAGAAUAAACAAUAAAACUUAUGACAGAACAUUUAAGACCUUCAAAGAAUAUAAAUAUUAAUAUUACAUCUUAUAUAUUCUUUAAGACAUUUGUGCCAGAUACUUUUUAUAUCUUUUUAUGUUUCAUAGCUUAAAAAAUUGUAGACAAAGGAAUUGAAGUAAUUUUAUACUUACAAUUAAUAGAAAAAAGAUACCAAAUUUGCAACAAUUUCCUAAAUUGGAACCCCCUUAUUUCUUAUAAACUAAACAUCGCACCGUAUGAAUACCGAUAAAAACAUGAUUCACUUGGUUAAUUAAAGAAAUAAGAACCAAUAUUUUAUACAACCAUGCCCUUCUCUAUAUAAAAUCUGCUAAAAAUAAAUUCGACAAAAGCAAGAGUUUUAUUUGCACGAUUUUCUUUUGCAAAUUGCACAAUUUAAACAAUAGUGAAUGUAUUAUCGAUAACAUCAUUUCACAUGUUUUUAAGUUCCUAAAAAUGUUUCUUUUUAUUUUUCUCUCUUAUGUAUAUUUUGUAGUACAGUUUUAAACUUAAAGUUGCUAUGUGUGCGUAAAUUGGAACACUCUGUGAGAUCAGAAGUCUAAUGAUAACAACUGUUACGCGUGACUGUAGUAUAGCUAGGCCGCGACCGUAACUUUAAUAUAUAAUCUAUAUACAUAUAUAAUAACUUAAAUGUUUCAAGACAAGAUUUCACAAUUUACAUAAAGAGACAAUAGACGAGUCGAAAAAGCAUGCCUAUUAAAAAAUAUGCUUCUUAGGCGAACCUAAUAGAAUAACAUAGAAUCUGUAGAACUACAUAAUUUAGGUAAGAUAUAUAAGUCAAUAAAAUACAAAAUUAAUAUUUCGAUUGUAUACGGAUUCCAAAUUAGGCACCUAUUUCGUCAGAUGUGCUUUUUGAUAUGAAAACAUUAAUUAUUUAAAAAAUAUGAAACAGUAUUAUAAAAAUUGCUAUAUUAUUUCAUAGAUAGAAGAUACUUUCAAAUUUAAAUUUGUGUUUUUAAAAGAGUUUCUAAUCAUUAUUUAAGAAAUGUUGUCCAAAAACAAAGUGGUGUUUCAAAUUUGGUGUCUUUUUUUUUAUAUUUUGCAUUUUUAUACUUAAUUAUUUAUUUAUAAUACUUUACAGGUAAAAAAAUAAAAAAAC
rnacentral:lncRNA from 1 species